GACGAACGCUGGCGGCGUGCUUAACACAUGCCAGUCGAACGGAAAGGCCCCCUUGUGGGGUACUCGAGUGGCGAACGGGUGAGUAACACGUGAGUAACCUACCCUUGACUUUGGGAUAACUUCAGGAAACUGGGGCUAAUACCGGAUAGGAGCUCCUGCUGCAUGGUGGGGGUUGGAAAGUUUCGGCGGUUGGGGAUGGACUCGCGGCUUAUCAGCUUGUUGGUGGGGUAGUGGCUCACCAAGGCUUUGACGGGUAGCCGGCCUGAGAGGGUGACCGGCCACAUUGGGACUGAGAUACGGCCCAGACUCCUACGGGAGGCAGCAGUGGGGAAUAUUGCACAAUGGGCGGAAGCCUGAUGCAGCAACGCCGCGUGCGGGAUGACGGCCUUCGGGUUGUAAACCGCUUUCGCCUGUGACGAAGCGUGAGUGACGGUAAUGGGUAAAGAAGCACCGGCUAACUACGUG
rnacentral:rRNA from 1 species